AAUAUCAAAAACUAUUUUAAAUGAAUUAAAAAUAACCAGAAAAGAGAAAAUUACUAAAAAAUAUCAAAUAAUAAAAUAAAAAAUAUUAAAAAACAUUUUUAGAAAGUAGAAAUUAAAAGGAGAAGAAUGAAAUUGGUCCCAUAAUUUUUGGACCAAUAAUGAGAGAGAUAUGAAUUUUUAAAGUAAAAUGGAAUUAAAAGAAAUA
rnacentral:lncRNA from 1 species